AACGCACAUUGCGCCCUUCGGUAUUCCGUUGGGCAUGCCUGUUCGAGCGUCAUUAGAAACUUCAAGCUCAGCUUGGUGUUGGGUGCUUGUCCCCCCCCGCGGUGGACUCACCUCAAAUGCAUUGGCGGCCGGUAUGUUGGCUACAGCGCAGUACAACGCGUCUGGCGUCUUGAUAUACUGGUCCUCCAGAAGCUCUUCUUUGACUUGACCUCGGAUCAGGUAGGGAUACCCGCUGAACUUAA
rnacentral:misc_RNA from 1 species